UUAUGCUUUCCGGGGUCCCACAAAAUGGUCAUCUGCCCGAGCUGACUAUUGUACCAAAAUGAAGAGAGAGUGUGAAACAAACAUAGUGAAAAAUACGACGGAAAAUUGUCUUGUCUGUGCAUCUCCUAGUAGGAGCUGCAGCUACAAGUGCAGCACUGCAAUAACAGGCAGCCUCCUUCAAGACCUGACAAUCAUUCCAAACUAGCUGCCAGGAGUCAAUAGCACAAUGCAAACUCCACCCGCGCUGAGAAACCAACUGGAUCUAUGCCUUCAUACCUCCAGUUCUCUCUAGAUGCAAGCGUCAUGAGACCCCUCUCAAAACCACUGCGCCUUUGUGACAGAGCACUGUGCUAACCCUCCUGACCUGAUUCAAAGCUCAAUGAAAGCAACACAGGAAUUCACCCUCUGUGGCAACUGACAUGAAAUGGCACUGAACAGUCAUCAACAUUCAUAUUCAUAUUUUGCAAAGCUUUGGUAUGAUGGAGAAGUCAGGACUGAGGGGUGAGCCACACCACCCAUGCCAGCUGCCACAGCCCCGAGGACCCAAAAGUGCUCCAGGGUCCAGGAAGGGUCCAGGAAGACCAAGAUCCACGAGGACACUGAGUGGUGGAACCAUGCCUGGACCCAGCUCAUAAAGCGGUGCAGUACCAUGUGUGCUGUCAUGAGAGAAAUGAUGGCACACCUGCUUGAUGUCACUCCUCCCUACCACUCUCUUGUCCCCCUGCUAUGCCCAUUCCCCCUCCAUCUGCCCCCCAUGCAAUGCCUCUGCUCUUUCUCCAAGCAAUGCCCAUGCCACCUCCCCAAGUGAUGCCCAUGCCUCCUUCUCCUGCCACCUCUGCCCCUGCUCCAGCUCCUCUCCCCCAUGGUCCCUGGACUCUCCCAACCCCAACUCUGAGGUCCCCCGCAGCUGAGGCAGCACAUCUAGCCACCCCCCACACCACUCAGAGACCCUCCUCCCCCUACAGGUUAUGAGCCCCCCUCUCCCUGCCCACCUUUUUUUAAUGAAACUUAAAAACAGACUUCAUUGUGUUGAAAAACUAACAGGUGUUUUUAUUGAGAGGUCAGGGAAGGGGUAAAGGGAGGGAUUGUGCUGGGAAAGGGAUGGGGCAGCAAGCCAGAGGCCUUGGGGAGACUUACUGGGGUUCUUGAGAGAACCUCUCUCUCAGGGCCUCCAGGAUGAGCACCCCAGCCUGAUGGGCCUAACGGAUGGCAGCUGUCCAUGGCUGCUCGAAGACUCUCCCCUCGAGGCUGGCAUUUGACCCUCACCCCAGGAGGCAAACCUCCCACUUCCUCUCCACAAUGUUGUGGAGGACAGAACCUGCCACGACCACCUUGGGGAUGUUGUGCUCCCCGACAUCCAGGCAGGUCACCAGGCACUCGACCUGGAUCCUGGCCCAGUUCAGGCGGGCAUUAAAUUGGUCCCUACUGGGGUCCAGGUGUCCUGUAUAAGGCUUCAUGAGCCAUGGCUUGAGGGGGCAGGCUACAUCCCUCAUGAUGCACCAUGACAUCUGCACAUCCCCGACUACUCGGCGGGGGAGGAACGUGACUGCCUACAGUUUCCCAUAAAGGCUAGAGUUCCAAAACACACAGGCAUCAUGUGCCCUGCCCGACCACCUAACA